rnacentral:rRNA from 1 species
UACGGAGGGUGCAAGCGUUCUCCGGAUUCACUGGGUUUAAAGGGUGCGUAGGUGGAGUGGUAAGUCAGUGGUGAAAUCUCCAAGCUUAACUUGGAAACUGCCGUUGAUACUAUCAUUCUUGAAUAUCGUGGAGGUAAGCGGAAUAUGUCAUGUAGCGGUGAAAUGCUCAGAUAUGACAUAGAACACCGAUUGCGAAGGCAGCUUGCUACACGAUCAUUGACACUGAGGCACGAAAGCGUGGGGAUCAAACAGG